AUAAGACGAGCAAGUAGUCGGU
rnacentral:miRNA from 1 species